CAGAUAAUAGUUUAUUAAAGAAUAUUAAUUUUGGAGAUUAAAGGAAAUUUUUAAAAUUUUAUCUGA
rnacentral:tRNA from 1 species